rnacentral:lncRNA from 1 species
AUGGUUACUCCUAGUUCAGGGGUGAAUACGGUGUGCUGGGCAGUGGUCAGUGAUUCUGGAUACAAAGUCCAAUCCCCAGUGACAGCUGACAGGAAACUCAGUCCCAGGAUCAGCUUCGAAAAUUUUCCAGUUUUCCUUUGCAAAUCAAGUCAAUCACCUACAUAUUUGACUAAAGGCUUUGCCAGCUGGGCUGUCUUGCUGAGGCCGUGUGUAGAGUCAAGCAACUAUGGAAAACGAACAUUCAAAAGCCAGUCCCAGUGUGCCCACUUCAAAGAGAAAGGCAGAUGAAUAUUUAAAUCCCAACAUGGCCACCAAAAAUAUGCUGAGCUUUUUACUUGGUAGACAGCUAGGGAGGCACCGAAAUGAAGCUGAUCUCUCAAAGUGGCUGUGGAUGCUGACACGAGCAACACCGGGUUGGAGUUGGCCUUUGCCAAAAAAUCAUGUGACACACAUGCUUAUGCCUGCCCAGAAAAAUGGAAAACCCAAAAAAAUAGUUUAGAAUAAAACUCCCUCCUUGUUCCA